ACAACGUGACGCAUUUUACGUGUGUUGGUAAUUUAGGGGCAUGUGUCGAGCAGAAGGAAGACGAGUGACAUUUUAAUUCUUUCUGGGACGCUGUUCGAGGGCGUUUUUUUUUAAAAGUUAUUUCUGGGUGAUGUCAUCUAAAAGGUAACAUGUCCUUGGCUCAUUUGAUCAUGUGGCCUGCUGUACAUUUUCCAAAAAUGUCGUCCCUUGGUGCAUGACACACGUUUUGUCACAUGAAUAGGUAUCUCCACGCCAUUCGACCAAACUGAACCGAAAGUGAAUCAUUUCAAGCAACAUGUUGAAUAUUUUGCCUUUCUCCAUGGGUCCAUGGGCUGUGUCAUGAAGAUGGAUCUUUGAGAGGGUCACUACUGCAUUGCAAGACAGAAUGAUGAAAAGAGGGAAAAUAUUAAGGAGGUUUUGCUGCUGCAGCCAGCCAUUGAAAGGGAGUUUAAAUGAAGUUGAGUUGAAGCUCCUGGAAGCAGUCUACAUUGCUGGUGUCAUCCUAAAGUUAAACAGCAACACAGAUAAGCUGCAGUGUCAAUGUGAUGCUGCAUACUGUCAAUGGAGCUGGUGUUAUCCACAAGUUUAGAAGCAAAACUAGAAGCACAGCUGCAAGAACACAUCUCGAAAUGGAUGGUGGAAAUUUGCCGUGGUUUUGCAGUCUGCUGCCUGUUCAAGCUGUUGCUAUCCUGGAUUUUGCCUUAAUCCUUGAAAUAGCAGAUGUUGGUGGCAUCCAGAUGUUGCUGUGGCAGUGUGGCAGUGAAAUUCGGGUUGAAGAUUAAAAUACUUUCGUCUGAUAAAUGUUUAUCGAUCCAUGUAGCGUAUGAUUGAAGUAACUUGAUAUUAAUUUGCUAUUCCAUGUCACAUGUUGCAGCCUGUGUUGGUGAGAGUUCUUUGACACUAAGUUCUAUCUGCUGUUGAUGUUGGAUAUGAUAUUACCUUUAUCCACAUCCACAUGAUAUCAAAUUAUUCCUUAUUAAUUGAUGGCCAAACCUCCUAAGUCAAACCUGCAAUCUUGUGUUAUGUCAACUUCAUUGUUUAUAUCUUAUCACAUUUCACUUGUAAUCUAUAUAAAUAUAAAUAAUACCCAAAUUAAAAAAUACCAAUCAACUGAAAUGCUUUAAAUAGAAUGAAAUAAAUCUAAAUA
rnacentral:misc_RNA from 1 species